rnacentral:lncRNA from 1 species
UCAAUAUGGCUACUGGGUGUAAAAGAUAAAUCUUAUUCUAUCUGUUCUUCAUGAGUUUUAGAUAAUUUUAGUUGUAUUUCUUUGUAAUUUUGUGUUGUACAAAGAUUAAUUUAACAUUUUCUCUGGAAGUAUUAAUUUAGAAAGAUAAUAUGCUUCAUUGGUGUUGUGUUUUGAAGUGUGAACUGCAAAGUAAUUGUGAUAAAGUCAAGAUAAAGUUCACUUUUAAACUGAACUAAAUAAGGUAUCUGAGAGACAACAAUGGUUAAAUGCAAUACAAUGUACAGGUUUUACUAGCGAAAUGAAAAUUUUCCUGUCCUGUCUGCUGUAAUCAUUUUAUAUCUGGAAAACCAGCCGACUUAAUCGAUAAUAACAAUCUCCAGAUUGGGUUCCUUCAAUAAAUAUGGGCUAUAAACACAAUGAAAUAAGUUCCCCAAAAUCUAAAAUGGAGUGGUAUCAAAGGAGAAUUAAAGGAAAAAAUAUUCAUAUUGAAAUUAUUUAUAAGGCACUGGACUGUCUUAAAUUCUACAAUAAUACUAGAAUCAGCUGAGAGAAGUGGUCUACAAAAAACCAGGAAGGAAACGGAAUAUGUGGCUACGAAAAGCAAAAGAAAGGUUUACAAAGCAAAUGUGACACAUUUUUUUGAAAUAUUUAGGAAUAUCAGUAAAUUGCAUUAAAAAAAUGUAUGAAAAGAUUUUGUUCAAUAAAAAUGUUUAUAUUUA